rnacentral:rRNA from 1 species
AGAGUUUGAUCCUGGCUCAGGACGAACGCUGGCGGCGUGCUUAACACAUGCAAGUCGAGCGGAAAGGCCCUUCGGGGUACUCGAGCGGCGAACGGGUGAGUAACACGUGGGCAACCUGCCCCUAGCUCUGGGACAACUCCGGGAAACCGGGGCUAAUACCGGAUACGACCUCCGACGGCAUCGUCGGUGGUGGAAAGUUUUUCGGCUAGGGAUGGGCCCGCGGCCUAUCAGCUUGUUGGUGGGGUCACGGCCCACCAAGGCGACGACGGGUAGCCGGCCUGAGAGGGCGACCGGCCACGCGGGGACUGAGACACGGCCCAGACUCCUACGGGAGGCAGCAGUGGGGAAUAUUGCGCAAUGGGCGGAAGCCUGACGCAGCGACGCCGCGUGAGGGAUGAAGGCCUUCGGGUUGUAAACCUCUUUCAGCAGGGACGAAGCGAGAGUGACGGUACCUGCAGAAGAAGCACCGGCCAACUACGUGCCAGCCGCCGCGGUAAUAC